rnacentral:rRNA from 1 species
AACGAACGCUGGCGGCAGGCCUAACACAUGCAGGUCGAACGAACCGUUUACGGUGAGUGGCGCACGGGUGAGUAACACGUGGGAAUAUACAUUUCGGUAAGGAAUAACGUAGAGAAAUUUACGCUAAUACCUUAUAAUGACUACGGUCCAAAGAUUUAUCGCCGAAGGAUUAGCCCGCGUUAGAUUAGGUAGUUGGUAGGGUAAUGGCCUACCAAGCCUACGGUCUAUAGCUGGUCUUAGAGGAUGAUCAGCCACACUGGAACUGAGACACGGUCCAGACUCCUACGGGAGGCAGCAGUGAGGAAUAUUGCGCAAUGAGGGAAACCCUGACGCAGCCGUGCCGCGUGAGUGACGAAGGCCUUAGGGUUGUAAAGCUCUUUCAGAUGUAAAGAUAAUGACGGUAACAUCAGAAGAAGCUCCGGCUAAAUUCGUGCCAGCAGCCGCCGUAA